rnacentral:rRNA from 1 species
GUAGGGAAUUUUGCGCAAUGGACGGAAGUCUGACGCAGCAACUCCGCGUGAGGGAUGAAUGUCUUCGGAUUGUAAACCUCUGUUGAGUGGGAAGAAAGGUUUUAAUGCUAAUACCAUUAGGAUUUGACGGUACCAUUCGAGGAAGCUCCGGCUAACUACGUGCCAGCAGCCGCGGUAAUACGUAGGGAGCUAGCGUUGUUCGGAAUUACUGGGUGUAAAGGGAGCGUAGGCGGGGAGGUAAGUUAGGAGUGAAAUGUAUAGGCUUAACCUAUAGACUGCUUUUAAUACUGCUUUUCUUGAGUAUGGGAGAGGAAGAUGGAAUUCCAGGUGUAGUGGUAAAAUACGUAGAUAUCUGGAAGAACACCAGUUGUGAAGACGGUCUUCUGGCCCAAUACUGACGCUGAGGCUCGAAAGCUAGGGGAGCAAACAGGAUUAGAUACCCGGGUAGUCC